GUGACGGUGUAACAGUGUGACUCCCAGUUUCUUGUUUACAUUGAGUGUUUUGUAGUGUAAUGUCUCGCUUGCGGCUUGGUUUAAUUACCGUUCAGUAACGGAAAAUAGAGCGAACUCCAUGCAGUAUUAGUUAAUUACCAACUUCUCCCAGAUGAUAUUAACUGAAAAGGUGGCAAUAAAAGCGAGAGGAAGGCCUAGAGUAGCCUAGCAGCGGGAGCAACGACCUUAUCCUACACGUCCUUUUUACAUUCUUGUCAGAAAAGCUUUGCAGUCCUUCCGCGGUAUUUUUCGACGAGCUUCCACCGCUGAUGUUUACUGAAGCCAUUUUCAACAGGCGCUGGGUAUUAUUGUCUGUCUGGGCAGAGAAUGGCGACGUUAUGAAUUGUGAAACCUUCGGUGAAACUGCUUCAGCCCGAUGAAAGAGCGAAUCUUGAUUCGCCAAACCCGGUUUUGAUUCGCCGGACCUAUAGUCAUCUGAUGUUCUUAUACGAAAUCUGAGAUCUGACGAAGACUUACUUCAAUGUCGAGGAUUAAUUAAGGAAGUCAGGAAGAUAGAAUGUUCUCGUGUGUGUAUUGUAGAGAUUACGUGAUUAUAGUAGAUUAAUAUGUGAAAUAUUCAGAAGAUCUUACAUAGAUAAAAUUCAGUGUAUGGAUAAAGUGUGUAGGUAGAUUUUCCUUCUUUUGGGGGGAGGUUGUCAGUUCUAUCUCCGCUAAGUUGUGGAACCCUUUGCCGAAUCUGUUUUUGAAAAUACAA